UAAAUUCGAUUCAAUUAGACUCAAUUUUAAAUCUUAAUCAAAUUUCAUUGAUCCAUUUUAAUUUUAAUCACAACCGUCAGAACAAAUCUUUCAUUUAUUUCAUUUGUAAUCCCUCAAACAUCCAAAACCUUAAUUUCUUUUCCCUCUCUUCCUCACCAUCUCACACUUCCCUCUCUCUCUCUCUCCUUUUUCUCUCUCUCUAAACCAUCUCCACCCGCCUCCUAGAUGGAAAAACCAGCCACUUCUGCCACCACCCAGCCGAAAAACCUCACCAACCACCGUCCUGCUGUCUAGCCAUUCCAGCGCCACCUUCCUCCUCUUUCUUCUCUCCUGCCGGUGAAAAUCGCCGCUUCAGCCGGCAUAACAACCAUCUCCGGUGAGGCUCCAUCCGCUAUGGCUGGUGAAAUAUAUCUCUGCGCCUCCACCAGCCGGCGAACUCCCUCUGUUUUUGGCCUCUCUCCUCAUAUUGUCGUUGUUGCCUCAUCGGAGGUGAUGACCGGUGAAGCACUGUCAACAACAAUAUCACCGAGCAACUCCACCGCCGCUCCGCACAACGGUCAAACCUCAUCGAAAAUAUCAGUUUUAUGAUGAUUUCUUAGAAUUCAUCCCAUAUUUUAUUUUAUUUUAUUUUUUUUGUUGUUAGCGUUAUAUUUAAUUCUCUUCUGCUCUUUCUAAAUUGACAAAGUUUGGUUGGGACUUUUUGUGAUUUUGGGUUCAUUAAUAUGCUUAAGCUAUCAUAUAUGAAAAGCUCCAAUUUCAUGAACUUUAUUUGAGCCCUAAUUUUACUAUUGAUUGCAAUUUUUCUCAAAUCAAGCUAGAAUUUUAGUAAUUUUGAUCUAUUUAUUCCCCGCCUUUCUGAAGUCGAAUUGUGAUAGUUUUUGUACGUGUUUUUAAACUGUUUUUCUUGGUUAGCUCACUUGAUAACUAAUUAUGCUAUGAUUUUGGACUACCUCUACAGAUAAUUGAUUUGAUUGCUUGAUUUUUGGGAAGAGUUAUGGUAACUUGGGAUUUUUUUUUCAUUUGAAUUAAUUCAAAAUUACAUGACAACUCCAUCUUUCUUAUUUAUGGAAAAUCUCGUGUCUAUUUGCUUAUUUUACCCAUUUAAAUUUGGUAAGAUCUUAUUCUUUAUUUAUUUAUGGUAAAUUUGAAAUACUUGAUUGAGCAAUUCUUUCGUUAAGGAAAAAAUCUUGUAAUUACCUUAUUUAUGGCUAUUUGCUUCCUUCUUCAUUUUCUUAAAAAGGAAAAAGACAUCGUUUUCACUCCAAACUAUAUUUGAAAAGUCGAAGUCAUAUCUGAACCAUAUUAAUGACUUAUUACACAUCUAAACUAUAAAAAAGUGAAAUCAUUUACACCUUGUCAGGCUACCACCACUUGCAUGUGGUGUAUUGUUUUACACGUGCUGCUACAUCAGUAAAAAGUAUCAUUUUUUUAUAGUUUAGUUGUGUAAUAGAUCACUUAUAUAGUUAUAUAGUUUAGGUGUGGAUUUAACUUUUCAAUUAUAGUUUGGGGUGAAAACGAUACUUUUUCCUUAAUGUUUUUAGCCUUUUAUUUUUGUUAUUUAAUAGGCUUGAUGUGUCUAAAAUAAGUGUAACACACACGUCUUAGAAUGGGGGUUGCGGGGAGGUAAUAAUAUCAUUUUUUUUAUAGUUAAGAUGUGUAAUAGGUCAUUAGUAUAGUUUAGGUGUGAUUUAGACUUUUCGGGUAUAAUUUAAAAUAGAAGGAUGCCUUUUUCUUUUCUCAGAUAACAUAAGACCCUUGAGCUAUAAAAAAAGACCCCUUUUUUUUUUCUCUAAACACCCAAACGUUUUGGCAUCACUUUUCCGGUACAAACAAACUACUUUUAAGUUUCUUCUUUAGUUUGUUAGUAGUCUGAAAAGGAGCUUCUGGUCCUAUCGUUUCUGCUGCCUAACUGUUGCAUGUGUGGUUCAAAGCUUUGUUUUUCAAGAUUUUUUUAACUGCUUGUUGUUAUCAAAUUGGUUAGUUUUUUAGACGAUGCAUUUUGAUUAUUACAUGUUAAUUUUAGAUGAUUUUCAAGCUUGUCUUAGGCAUUUCUUAAACUCUUUUAAGUUGUUGAAUGUGAUUAGUUGUAAGAUCAUUGUUUGUCUGUGUUUUUUUUUUUUUUCAACUGGACCAUUGUAGGACUGUCAUAUGUUUGUUUUUGUGUAUUUGGGAUAUGUUGUUAUUGUCCAACAGACACUAUUGAG
rnacentral:lncRNA from 1 species